rnacentral:rRNA from 1 species
AUUGAACGCUGGCGGCAGGCCUAACACAUGCAAGUCGAACGGUAACAGGAAGAAGCUUGCUUCUUUGCUGACGAGUGGCGGACGGGUGAGUAAUGUCUGGGAAACUGCCUGAUGGAGGGGGAUAACUACUGGAAACGGUAGCUAAUACCGCAUAACGUCGCAAGACCAAAGAGGGGGACCUUCGGGCCUCUUGCCAUCGGAUGUGCCCAGAUGGGAUUAGCUAGUAGGUGGGGUAACGGCUCACCUAGGCGACGAUCCCUAGCUGGUCUGAGAGGAUGACCAGCCACACUGGAACUGAGACACGGUCCAGACUCCUACGGGAGGCAGCAGUGGGGAAUAUUGCACAAUGGGCGCAAGCCUGAUGCAGCCACGCCGCGUGUAUGAAGAAGGCCUUCGGGUUGUAAAGUACUUUCAGCGGGAAGGAAGGGAGUAAAGUUAAUACCUUUGCUCAUUGACGUUACCCGCAGAAGAAGCACCGGCUAACUCCGUG